rnacentral:lncRNA from 1 species
CCUACAUACGCGGGCGGCGUCCCCGGGGGGCCCGGGAGGUCCGCAGACGCCGGCCACUGCGGGGCCCCUCGGCGCUCGGAGCUGCCGGCCCCAGGUCGCGCUCGGGCUGGCCGGGGCUGGGCGGAGCGGAGCGGGCUCGAGGGGCCGCCGACGCCCGCCUGUGCCGGCCGCAGCACCACGGGCAUCGGGGUCGCGGCUCCCGCUGACGGCGGCGGGACGACACGCGCGCCGAACCGCGUCUCCGGGCGCGGACACUCGCCCGCACGAGUCGCCCUUUGGCUUGGGGCUCCGCCCGCGCUCGGGAGCUGGGGCCGUGCCACCCGCUCCCCACGGGCGCCACUUACCGGAGCGGGGCGCGCGGGCUUCGUCUCCGACGUGGGGCUCGCGGGGGGCGGCCAGACCGCGCGGGGCCGGGCGGGGCGGGCGGGGCGGGCGGGGGCGGGCGGGGGCUCGGGCUCCGCCGCCUCGGCGCUCACCGGCUCGCGGGGGAAGGCGCGCCCCGCCCCCGGGGUCUCCGGGCCGCGUCAGCAGCUCCGCCCGGGCAGGGGAAAGACGACGAGGGGCUGGGGGCGGGGGAGCCGGGGGAGCCCGGGCCCCGCGCGCCGCGGAAGCCGCCCAGGCCCGAAGUACUUGGGGCGUUCGCAGCCCCCGGUGCGGGGCUCCGAGAGCGGGUGCGGGCCCGGCGCCGAGCGGAGCGCGCAGCCCCGCGCCUCCUCGCCCGCGCCGCCCUCCUCCCACGUUGGUCGCGCCCACUCGGCGCCAGGGUCUCGCCCGCCGCUCGGGAGGGGCCGGGAAAUCCCGCCCGCCGCCGCCGACGUCACUGCUGCGUCACGGGGGCUCCCGCGCCGGGGCUCCGCGCCCCGCGCCCCGCGCCCCGCGCCCCCGCGCCCCGCGCCCCCCGCCCCGCGCCCCGGCAGGGCCCGACCCUCCGCCUGGAGCGCCCCGUCGCCCGGGGGCUGGGGGGCGGGGUCCCCCGCACAGGAGCCUCCCGCGGCCUCCCCGUGCCUGGGGCUAGUUCCGGGAGCAGCGGUGCGGGGCGCGGCCAGUCUGCGUCCGUCCGCGGAGAGCAGCAGGAUCCCUCCUUGUCCCCGCACAGGAGGCAGCGAGCGGAGAGACGCUCAGUGCCCGGGAAGGUUUACGGGGCUCGCGUGCCUCUCGGGGCGCAGCCGGCUGCCCCCAGGCCGCGGCGGGAAGGCGGGAACGAGCCCCGGCGCUCGCGGACAGCGGCGGCCCCUCCGCGGGGAAGGCUCGGCUGCCCCUCGGGUCCUCAGGAGCGAGCGCCUGGCGGUGGAAAUGCUGAGAACCCGGGGUGAGCCGAGUCCUCCGCCUUCCGGGAAAACGGCGUCGCUGCCGUCGGGGUUGGGAGUGGGGGGGAGGACGCGGAGCCCCGAGAAGAGCGGGCCGCGAAGGCACGUGGAGCGCUGGCGGGAAAGGAGGCGACGCUGGGUCCCACGGAGACCAGGCGCGACCGUGGCCGACGGGUAG